rnacentral:rRNA from 1 species
UACGAAGGGGGCUAGCGUUGCUCGGAAUUACUGGGCGUAAAGCGCACGUAGGCGGCUUUGUAAGUUAGAGGUGAAAGCCCGGGGCUCAACUCCGGAACUGCCUUUAAGACUGCAUCGCUUGAAUUGUGGAGAGGUAAGUGGAAUUCCGAGUGUAGAGGUGAAAUUCGUAGAUAUUCGGAAGAACACCAGUGGCGAAGGCGACUUACUGGACACAUAUUGACGCUGAGAUGCGAAAGCGUGGGGAGCAAACAGG